rnacentral:lncRNA from 1 species
AUGUGCCCGAAGAGGAGACCAUUCUGCCUCUUUAAGUCCUUCUCGGAGUCUCGCCGGGCCGCCGCCUCCGCCGCCGUACACGGUGGCCGGGUAGUCGCGGAUGCCCAGAACCAAGUGCCUUUCACGCCAUUUGACUCGAUUUUACAUAAGGAACCCAAAUCUCAAAUCAAUUUCACCGUUCAACACCCAAUUUGUCAAAAAUCCUAAAUCAACGCAAAUUGAAAACUAGAUCUAAAUUUCUUCUCAAAUCUCCAUCCGGUGAUCAAGCCAUUAAUAAAACUGUUGAAUAUUCAUUCCCUAUCGAGCUAACCCAUAGAAGAUCACCGAUACCGUCGAGCCUCACCGGAGAAUCGCGUUGGUGCAGAGGAGGCAGUCGCGUCGCCAGGGAAGAGCUCGCGUCGUCGCUGCUGAGGGCCUGAUCGACAUGAAAGAGGAUGGCAACGUGACCGGUGGCAUGAGAGGGAUCGAUCGCCACCCACCAUCGUCAGUCUGGUGGCCGGAGACGGAAGGAGAGGGAGGAGGGAGGGAUCGCGCGACUGGAGAAGAAGAAGGAAAGAAAGGAAAAGAAAAAGAAAGAAAAGAAAGAAGGCUAACGCUUCUAGACCAUUCCGGUUCGAUCCGAACUGGUUCGGUCUAAUUCAAUGAUUUGGCUCGAUUCUUGCUCAGUUUGUAGGUUUUUCGCUUGGUUUUCGGAUUAUUCGUGUAGUUUUCAAAAAAUCAAUUUAAUUCCUCGGUCCGGUUCGAUUUAUUUUAAUUAUUUUUAUUAGAUUCUAUAACAUUUCCUCCAUUUACUUAAUAAUAAUAAAAAUAUUAAUAGUAAUGAUUUUAAAUUUAGAAUGAUUAAUUUAU